AUUGAACGCUGGCGGCAGGCUUAACACAUGCAAGUCGAGCGGGGUGAUGGUGCUUGCACUAUCACUUAGCGGCGGACGGGUGAGUAAUGCUUAGGAAUCUGCCUAUUAGUGGGGGACAACAUCUCGAAAGGGAUGCUAAUACCGCAUACGUCCUACGGGAGAAAGCAGGGGAUCACUUGUGACCUUGCGCUAAUAGAUGAGCCUAAGUCGGAUUAGCUAGUUGGUGGGGUAAAGGCCUACCAAGGCGACGAUCUGUAGCGGGUCUGAGAGGAUGAUCCGCCACACUGGGACUGAGAGACGGCCCAGACUCCUACGGGAGGCAGCAGUGGGGAAUAUUGGACAAUGGGGGGAACCCUGAUCCAGCCAUGCCGAGUGUGUGAAGAAGGCCUUAUGGUUGUAAAGCACUUUAAGCGAGGAAGAGGCUCUUUUGGUUAAUACCCAAGAUGAGUGGACGUUACUCGCAGAAUAAGCACCGGCUAACUCUGUGCCAGCCGCCGCGGUAA
rnacentral:rRNA from 1 species